AUGCCCUCCGAUGGCAAGACAAGUCAUUCCCAUACUAUAAUGAUCUAUUUGCUCUAUAUGAUGGGUGCUACGCUCAAGGAAGGAGUUGUCGUAGCAUGGAUUAUUAUGCAAACAAGGCCACACAACCCUCUCAUAUCACGACAUCAUAUUCGCAGCAGUUGGAAGGUCUGGAGGAGCAUUUUCGCUCACCUACACCAAACCUACCUGCUCCUGGGGAAUCGUGCAUGCCUAUUGAUACUGAAGAGGACAAUGGAAGCACUAAUUGGUUUUGCACUGAUGAUCCAUUAG
rnacentral:rRNA from 1 species